rnacentral:rRNA from 1 species
AUGUGCUUUCUUAACUCCGCUCAUAACUUUUCUCGGUGGUGUCAUGAUAAUCUGAAAAAUAGUUUGACUCACAUCGACAAGGCAAUGGUGAAAGUGUGUGCAAAAAAGGUCGCGGAUGCAAGGCUAAGGCUUAAAGUUACAAUUGAUUGCAUCAAAUGGUUAACAUUCCAAGCUUGUGCUUAUAGAGGCCAUGACGAAUCUCCGGGAUCAAGUAAUCAGGGUAAUUUUCUUCAUCUGGUGAGGUUCUUGGCUUCUUAUAGCAAAGAGGUGAAUGCGGUUGUUUUGGAAAACGCUCCAAGGAAUGCGAAGUACACCUCCCAUACAGUGCAACUAGAAAUCCUCACAUUACUUUCUAGUAGAGUUAAGAAAAAAAUUAGAGAUGAGAUUGGUACUAUCAAGUUCUGCAUAAUGGUAGACGAAGCAUGAGAUGAAUCAAAGAAAGAGCAAAUGGCAUUGGUUCUUCGAUUCCCGAGCACCGAGGGGUUCAUACAGGAGCGUUUUCUUGAUGUAAUUCAUGUCACUGACACUACUGCUUUGACUCUCAAGAAGGCAAUUUGCAAAGUCCUUUCUGACAAUAAUUUGAAUGUCCAAGACAUCAGAGGACAAGGCUAUGACGGGGCAAUUAAUAUGAGAGGUGAAUGGAAUGGAUUGAAGGCUCUAAUUCUGAAUGACUGUCCUUAUGCAUAUUAUGUGCAUUGCAUGGCUCAUUAGUUAUAGUUAGCGCGUGUUGCCGCGUCAAGGGAGGUACAUGAUGUGCAUAACUUUUUCCAAAAUGCAAAUUUCAUUAUAAAUGUUGUUCGCGCAUCGACUAAAUCAAUUCAGAGUUUACAGAAGAUGUUUGGCGCUACAGUUGAGGUCCUAAGGAGUAUAGCAAAUGACCGUGCAGCCUCGAAAUAUUCUAGAGGAGAUGCCGUAGGAGCCCUAAAAAUAAUUAUGUCAUUUGAUUUUGUGUGCAUUUUACAUCUAAUGAAGAAAAUCAUGAAAAUCACUGAUGUUUUAUGUCAAACACUCCAAAAGAAGUCACUAGAUAUUCUGAAUGCAUUAGAUUUGGUAUCAACCACAAAGGUGCUACUUGGUAAGCUGAGAGAAGAUGGUUGGGAUCCCCUUCUUCAGGAGGUUCAAUCUUUUUGUUUGAAGCAUGAGAUUGACAUCCCUGAUCUGAAUAAUGAUAACACUACUACAUUACAUCACUACAAAGCAGAUCUGUUAAAUGUUGCCAUAGAUCAGCAAUAGGUUGAGCUAAAUGAUUGUUUUGGUGUUCAAAACACAGAGCUUUUGACACUGUGCAUCUUUGGAUCCACAACAUGA